AUGUCAAACGUUAAGUUUCUUGUUUCUUGUUUGUUUGUAACUAUUUAUAUGCAAAAUUUGAUAUGAAAAAUAGUACCAAAUUUCGUACUACUUCGCAAUGCGGGCUUUUUUUCUUCCCGUUUCUCUCGUGCUUCCAUAUUACAACCUUUUGUAAGGGAGCCGUCGACAUGAGCUGUCACUACGUACAACACCUUGUAUAAUUCCACCAUGCACGAAGCUAGCAAACCUUUUC